rnacentral:rRNA from 1 species
AUUGAACGCUGGCGGCGUGCUUUACACAUGCAAGUCGGACGAGUGGCGAACGGGUGAGUAACGCAUCGGAACGUCCCGAGUAAUGGGGGAUAACUGUCCGAAAGGACAGCUAAUACCGCAUAUUAUUCGAGCGGCCGAUGUCUGAUUAGCUGGUUGGCGGGGUAAAGGCCCACCAAGGCGACGCUCAGUAGCGGGUCUGAGAGGAGGAUCCGCAACACGGGGACGGAGACAGGGCCCAGACUCCUACGGGAGGCAGCAGGGGGGAAUUUUGGACAAGGGGGGCAAGCCUGAUCCAGCCAUGCCGGGGGACUGAAGAAGGCCUUCGGGUUGUAAAGGACUUUUGACAGGGAAGCGGUACAUGAAGAAUAAGCACAGGCUAACUACGUGCCAGCCGCCGCGGUAAUAC